rnacentral:tRNA from 1 species
GGCGUCCGCGGGCCGCGGGGGCUCGCCGGCGCCGCCGGUGGCGGCGGCGUAGGGGCCGGGCGACUGCGGUCCGUACGGGCUCGGUUCGGACGCCGC